UACACGGCUCCACCAGCGCGCGACCGACCACCGUCCCGGGUCUCCUCUCCACACCUCUCCACAACGCUCCGGAGACGACGCGAACCUCCUCGUCGGUGAUCAGUCUAGCUGGGAGGUUAUUGGUUGUAUACGGAGCCGCGCAAGGAGCCGCACGAGAAACCCAGGCACCUCUAGCCGGAGCCUCAGUGCGAACGGUAUAGGAAACGUUUCUAGUAGUAGGUCAGUGAGGCCGGAGUCCACUUCCCAGACCCGUCCGAUGUUCCUUGUUUGUAUAAGACGUCGCAGUCCGUCAUGGGGCAUCGUACGGCCUGUGGCCGGCACGUUCAGUAUGCGUAGCUAUGCAGGAAGGAGAUGAAGUAGUUACGCUGAAAGUAGUUUCUCUCCUAGUACCUCACCGAUUCCCGUCUUCACCUGUGUAGGUUACUCUUCCAGCCCCUUUCCCACGUGAGUCAAAAGGAACUGUACAGUUUACACCACUUGUAACUGUGAAGUCUUGACCACCCUAACCUUUUUUAAGUGUUCCUCUACCGCAGGGAGCCGUAUGUUCACUUUACCGAUAACGAUCAGAUC
rnacentral:rRNA from 1 species